CGCACAUUGCGCCCUUCGGUAUUCCGUUGGGCAUGCCUGUUCGAGCGUCAUUUAAACCUUCAAGCAUAGCUUGGUGUUGGGUGCUUGUCCUCCCCCGCGGCGGACUCACCUCAAAUGCAUUGGCGGCCGGUAUGUUGGCUUCGAGCGCAGUACAACGCGCAAGGCGUCUUGACAUGCUGGUCCUCCACAAGACCUUCUUAAGCUUGACCUCGGAUCAGGUAGGGAUACCCGCUGAACUUAA
rnacentral:misc_RNA from 1 species